rnacentral:rRNA from 1 species
UACGUAGGGUGCGAGCGUUGCCCGGAUUUAUUGGGCGUAAAGGGCGCGUAGGCGGCUCGGCACGUCCGUUGUGAAAUCGCCCGGCUCAACUGGGCGGGGUCAGCGGAUACGGUCGAGCUUGAGCAAGCUAGGGGGCAAUGGAAUUCCCGGUGUAGUGGUGGAAUGCGUAGAUAUCGGGAGGAACACCGAUGGCGAAGGCAGGUCUCUGGGCCACUACUGACGCUGAGAAGCGAAAGCAUGGGGAGCGAACAGG